GACGAACGCUGGCGGCGUGCUUAACACAUGCAAGUCGAGCGGUAAGGCCCUUUCGGGGGUACACGAGCGGCGAACGGGUGAGUAACACGUGGGUGACCUGCCCUCAGCUCUGGGAUAAGCCUGGGAAACUGGGUCUAAUACCGGAUAUGACCCCAUGACGCAUGUCGUGGGGUGGAAAGCCUUGUGCGGCUGAGGAUGGGCCCGCGGCCUAUCAGCUUGUUGGUGGGGUGAUGGCCUACCAAGGCGACGACGGGUAGCCGGCCUGAGAGGGCGACCGGCCACACUGGGACUGAGACACGGCCCAGACUCCUACGGGAGGCAGCAGUGGGGAAUCUUGCGCAAUGGGCGAAAGCCUGACGCAGCGACGCCGCGUGAGGGAUGACG
rnacentral:rRNA from 1 species